rnacentral:lncRNA from 1 species
UACGAAUCAAAUCGUAGAUGGGACCCAUGGUCAAACAAAUAUUUGCAUUCUUUCAUAAACAUGAAUAAUACCUUCGACCACUAAUUCAGAAGUUUUAGAAUCAUAUUCAGUGAUAGUAUACACUCUGACAUGGGCUGAUGAUUUAGGAGGCAGUGACUCUUUCUUCUUGUUCAAAGGGCAGUAUUUUAUUUUAUGAUCCAACUUUCUACAAACAAAAUAGACUCCGGUCAUCCGAAAACACAAAUUUGUUUCAUAAUUUAAC